UUCUAGACUCAACCUGUUUUAAAAUGUAUAACCUUGAACACAUCUAACCACACAAGUGAACCUGAGGCCUUGUGAAUACUUAGAUGGGAGACCACCAGAGAAUAUCAUGGAUGUCUAGGAU
rnacentral:rRNA from 11 species